rnacentral:lncRNA from 1 species
UUGGAUCUUACUAUACUCGUCUAGCCUUAGGCCACAUACAAGCCACUUCUUAGCUUUGGCAUUUUUCUCCCAUUUUUUCAAGUCUUCAACAGUGUAGUCAGCCCUUGUUUUUGGUACUUCAAUUCCUUCAGCAUUCUUCUUAGUGACUGCUAGAGGGCCAUCAGUGAUUAUGUCCCAAAGUUCAUAAUCUUCCCAUAUGAUGGGAUCUCUCAUUCUGUUCUUCCACCAAGAAUAGUACUGGCCAUUGAAAAGUCGAGGCCUAGCAGUGGAUUGCCCUUCCUAGUUUCCAGGUGGUGCACUCAUCGUUUAUCUUUUCCUAAGGUG